GUGACCUUCAAUCAGAGGCUGUAAGUGGAAGAGAUCAUUCCUUACUAAAUAUCAAAUGGCACAGCAAUUCAGGUUGGAGGUGUGUGGAUUCUCAUUGUCCUCUGUCUUCAGAGUUCUCUUUCUUGAUAAUUUGCAUGAUACUGAAGAGAAAGCAAGUACUGAAGAAAGGAUAAAAUAGCUCCUAUCUUUCUCUUAAAGGUCCCUUUCUCUUGAUUGUUGGUGUAUUUUUGCACACUGAUCUAGUUUUAUGAUUGUUCUUCACUUUCUGUCUGUGACUAGAGAGCUUUUAAUCUACAAAGUUACUGUUAAGAAACAAUAUUAACUUAAAACUGGAGAUUUUUCUUGAUUUCUCUUGGUAAGACACUGGAACAAGUACUGAACAAAGCAUUGUCCUCUUCCACAGAGAAGUAGAAGAACAGUUGAUCUUGCUGACCUGCAACUAAAUAAAGAUUAAGGCACACAAGGUGGAACUGGUUAGGAGAAACUUCAGAAAAAGCUUGUAGGGAAUAUAUUUAUUUAGCUUUGUAAAGAAGGGGAAGAAGAGAAAAGAAAAAGCCUUAACUACAGCAGCAUACUGGAAAAUAUAAAAUAUUUGUACUGAGAAGGGAAAGAAGUGGAGAGAAAUUCAAGUCAGUGCAAAACUCCUUAUGUUCUCUAAACAGCCUUAGUUUCUUUCUGUUGUCACUAAGCACUUUCUGUUGAUGAAAUUUCAAUAUCUAAGUCAAAUCUCAUUUCUGUCAAAAGCAGACAAUAUAAUUGACUCAGAAAAGAGCCAGACGGCAAGUGUUAUGUCAAUGUAAAAUCUUAAUUGUAGGAAAUUGAUGAUUUGGAAUUGAAUAAAAAUGUUUUUCUGUUCAUCUUAUUCUCCUUCAUAUGAUUGCUACAAAUGUUGCUGGCUAAAGUUAUAAAUGAAUUGUUCUCAGGAACAUUUAGUGUUCUAAUUCUUCUAACCUGUUUUAUGAGUAAAAGUAUGUUUGUGACUUGCUGGGAACUGAAAGCAUCAUUUCCAUUAUUAAAUGAA